AACGAACGCUGGCGGCGGCCUAACACAUGCAAGUCGAACGCCCCGCAUGGGGAGUGGCAGACGGGUGAGUAACGCGUGGGAACGUACCCUUUGGUUCGGAACAACUCCGGGAAACUGGAGCUGAUACCGGAUGAGCCCUACCGGGGAAAGAUUUAUCGCCGAAGGAUCGGCCCGCGUCAGAGUACCUAGUUGGUGGGGUAAUGGCCUACCAUGGCGACGAUCCUUAUCUGGUCUGAGAGGAUGAUCACCCACACUGGGACUGAGACACGGCCCAUACUCCUACGGGAGGCAACAGUGGGGAAUAUUGGACAAUGGGCGCAAGCCUGAUCCAGCCAUGCCGCGUGAGUGAUGAAGGCCUUACGGUUGUAAAGCUCUUUCGCCAGGGACGAUUAUGACGGUACCUGGAUAAUAAGCCCCGGCUAACUUCGUGCCAGCCCCCGCGGUAAUACCAAGGGGGCUAGCGUUGUUCGGAAUCACUGGGCGUAAAGCGCAUGCACGCUGAUCGCUAAUUCAGGGGUGAAAGCCCGAGGCUCAACCUCUGAACUGCCUUUGAUACUGGCGAUAUUGAGUCCGAGAGAGGUGAGUGGAACUCCGAGUGUAGAGGUGAAAUUCGUAGAUAUUCGGAAGAACACCAGUGGCGAAAGCGGCUCACUGGCCCGGUACUGACGCUGAGAUGCGAAAGCGUGGGGAGCAAACAGGAUUAGAUACCGUGGUCGUCCACGCCGUAAACGAUGGAUGCUAGCCGUCAGCCAGCGUGCUGGUGGUGGCGCAGCUAACGCAUUAAGCAUCCCGCCUGGGGAGUACGAUCGCAAGAUUAAAACUCAAAGGAAUUGACGGGGGCCCGCACGAGCGGUGGAGCAUGUGGUUUAAUUAGAAGCAACGCGCAGAACCUUACCAGCCCUUGACAUCCCGGUCGCGGAUCCCUGAAAGGGGAUCGUUCAGUUCGGCUGGACCGGUGACAGGUGCUGCAUGGCUGUCGUCAGCUCGUGUCGUGAGAUGUUGGGUUAAGUCCCGCAACGAGCGCAACCCUCGCCCUUAGUUGCCAUCAUUCAGUUGGGCACUCUAAGGGGACUGCCGGUGAUAAGCCGCGAGGAAGGUGGGGAUGACGUCAAGUCCUCAUGGCCCUUACGGGCUGGGCUACACACGUGCUACAAUGGCGGUGACAAUGGGCAGCCAGCCUGCAAAGGUGAGCUAAUCCCAAAAAGCCGUCUCAGUUCGGAUUGGGUUCUGCAACUCGAGCCCAUGAAGUGGAAUCGCUAGUAAUCGUGGAUCAGCACGCCACGGUGAAUACGUUCCCGGGCCUUGCACUCACCGC
rnacentral:rRNA from 1 species